rnacentral:rRNA from 1 species
UGGGGAAUAUUGGGCAAUGAGGGAAAGCCUGAUGGAGCAACGCCGCGUGGGUGAAGAAGGUCUUCGGAUCGUAAAACCCUGUUGUUAGAGAAGAAAGUUCGUGAGAGUAACUGUUCACGUUUCGACGGUAUCUAACCAGAAAGCCACGGCUAACUCCGUUGCAGCAGCCGCUGUAAUACGUAGGUGGCAAGCGUUAUCCGGAUUUAUUGGGCGUAAAGGGAACGCAGGCGGUCUUUUAAGUCUGAUGUGAAAGCCUUCGGCUUAACCGGAGUAGUGCAUUGGAAACUGGGAGACUUGAGUGCAGAAGAGGAGAGUGGAACUCCAUGUGUAGCGGUGAAAUGCGUAGAUAUAUGGAAGAACACCAGUGGCGAAAGCGGCUCUCUGGUCUGUAACUGACGCUGAGGUUCGAAAGCGUGGGUAGCAAACAGG